rnacentral:lncRNA from 1 species
GAGUUUAAGUUUGCGUAAAAUAGAAAUAUUAAAAAUUAAAAUAUUAAAUAACCAACAUAAAUGAAUAGUUUCAAUAUAAUUUGCUACCUGAGGAUUUAUCUAGAUUAAAUUAAAUUACAAACAAAUAAUUAAAUUAAAUCAACUACAAGCAAAUAAAGGAAGAAAAGUAGAGAUUUGGGCCCAUUCAUGGCCCAUUUCAAAUCUGGACAGCCUUUUGGGCCUAUUUUUUUUGUGGGUUUUUCAGCCUCCUUUCAGCUGUGUAUACCAUCUGUAUAUCAAAGCUCAUUCUCUUCACGUUUUCUGUAUAAUUGGUGUAUACAUGACUGAAAAUCAGUCAUACACACAUCCUUUGAUACUCCAGCUGAAUAUUAGCACUUCUUUCCUCGUAUAUCGCCUGUAUAUCAUGUAUAUUUUCUGUAUAUAUUUAUAUACAGCCUUGUUUCUUCAUUAGUUUAGUCCAUUUCGGACUCGUAAGAUGCUUGACUUAAUGGGACUUAGCCUCUAGGAAAUGCAGGAAAAUAGGAUCCAUGGACCCAAUGGUAGGAAGUUCAUUACACAAAAGAAAAGACAAGGAUUAGUGUAAUGUAAGAAUCGAGACUUACGCUACUAUAAACAUGAAGCACAUAUGGCUAAGGGUACAUUCAUAAAUGUUUUUGAAGCAAUUUAAUAAAUUGAGAGUUAAUAAGUUGAAAAAGACUAACGGGACCCAAUGCAUUGUUAUUAUUAUUCGAAGAAGAAAAAUCAAAACUUUAAAGUCAAUUGCUUUACCAACGAACUCCAACAUGCACAUUAACCUUUAUCACCAAUGAAAACACAAAACAAUUCCAGUGAUUGUUUUUCACCAAUCAAACUCAAAGGUACAGAUAAACACAGAGAUGCAAGAAUUGAGAUGGCAAUUUGUCUUUAUCAAAAAAUUCACAUUUUUAGAAAAUAACACUACAACAUAACAAUGAAUUUGAUGCAGAAAGCAAAUGGAGGCUAACAGGUGAAUUAUAUCAAGACAUGGCAUUUGCUACUAAUCUUCAAAGACUCUAAAUAAUUAUAUUAUUUAUGUAGCAAAAGAAAUCCAGUCUGAAAUUAGGAAUAGAUGUAACCGGUUGUUGCAAAACAAGAUUCAGAAUACCUCCUUUUUUAAAAAAAGUUAAAUAUGAAAAAAUCACAACUUCAUUAUUUUGACUGAAAGGUGGAUCCUUAUCGCUUUGUUGGUACGAAACAUGGUGAUGACAGGAUUUAAAGAGACAAUCCCAGAAAUCAAUAGGAAGAAACUGAACUUACUGUCUGGAAUGAAACAAAAAGUUUACUAUUAACUCAUGUAAACAUGGUAUGUUUUGAACUCGAAAGUACUUAAAAAUCCAUAAACAUGACAUAAUCAGUAUUCCAAUGGUCAAAAGAAGAGCAAUAGGAAUGGAGGAUUUAAUGUCCCUCCCACACCAUAGUCAAAAUUCAAACAACAUAUAUAAAGUAUGUUAAAAAAAAAUAACUUUCAUCUUAAAAUAUUCGUUGCAGCCUCGAAACACAAGAAAUACCCAUCUUUAGCUCUUAUCGAGCAUCAUACAGUGCUAGAGGUUCCAUCAUCAAAUCAAUCUAACAACAACAACAAAUAUCAAACACCAACAUUCCGCCCUGUAACUUUCAAAAACAAAGAACAAAAAGUGUAAAAAAAAUAAAGCUUUCACCUUUUCCGGAGCAGGAACUGGGACGACGAAUUUAUCAGAUUCUCUUCGCACCACCGAAAAACUACGAACAAAGUUUAUUAGCCGAAAUCCUAAGCCAACUGGUCUUACAAGGACUUUAGCAUAGAAUAAUUCAAGGAAAUCCCUUCCAAUUGGGGAUUCUCUGCUAAACUAAUCUUUCUUCCUCCAACCACUUUGAAGAGUGAAUAGAAGGGGUUUAUAUAGAACACCAAAAUCCUAAUUCAUGAUGAAUUGGCGAUGUGGGAAAGGAAAACUCAAGGGCGGUUUUGUGAAAUUCAAGUUCAAAAAUGGGAUAAGGUUUGAGAGCUAGAAAAUAGUACUAUUUCGUACGAUUUUGAAUUUUGAAAAAAAACCAAACGGAUCGUUGGCUAAGCUGGACGCGCGGGUUAGGUUGGUCGAGAUUUGCUGGGUUGAAAUCGUUGUUCGUUGGGUUAAUUAUCAUUUGUGUUACGUUCGGUUGCAGCUCUUGUUGAAAUUAUUGUUUGUCCCUGCUUGUUGUUUUUCGAUGAUGUUGCUGGUGUUUGUUGAAGAUAGAGGGGAGGGUGGCGGGUAGGUUUGUG